rnacentral:rRNA from 1 species
AAGUAAAAGUCGUAACAAGGUCUCCGUUGGUGAACCAGCGGAGGGAUCAUUACAGUGGGAAUUCACAACCGUGGGCACUGAGGGUGUGUUUCGGCACUGCCGGAAGAAUCGUUAUAGUGACUGUGAGAGGGAUUAAGCAAGUAAAAACUUUUAGCAACGGAUCUCUUGGCUCUAGCAUCGAUGAAGAACGCAGCGAAAUGCGAUAAGUAAUGCGAAUUGCAGAAUUCAGUGAGUCAUCGAAUCUUUGAACGCACAUUGCGCCUGCCAGUACUCUGGCAGGCAUGCCUGUCCGAGCGUUAUUCCCCCUUAGGCAGCCUGGGCGCGCACCCAGCAGCCUGUGUUGGAGAUUGGUGUACCAACUCCCAAAUGCAGUGGCAAGCAGGUUUUACUUUCUGGUAGUACUGACUCCAGUGGAGGACAAACCUGUUUAUAUAAGCCAGGUUCCUUUUCAGGGCCGAAACGCACGCUGUUAACCUCGGAUCAGGUAGGGAUACCCGCUGAACUUAAGCAU